UCCCCUUCGGGGGACAAAGUGACAGGUGGUGCAUGGUUGUCGUCAGCUCGUGUCGUGAGAUGUUGGGUUAAGUCCCGCAACGAGCGCAACCCUUAAGCUUAGUUGCCAUCAUUAAGUUGGGCACUCUAAGUUGACUGCCGGUGACAAACCGGAGGAAGGUGGGGAUGACGUCAAAUCAUCAUGCCCCUUAUGAUUUGGGCUACACACGUGCUACAAUGGACAAUACAAAGGGCAGCGAAACCGUGAGGUCAAGCAAAUCCCAUAAAGUUGUUCUCAGUUCGGAUUGUAGUCUGCAACUCGACUACAUGAAGCUGGAAUCGCUAGUAAUCGUAGAUCAGCAUGCUACGGUGAAUACGUUCCCGGGUCUUGUACACACCGCCCGUCACACCACGAGAGUUUGUAACACCCGAAGCCGGUGGAGUAACCUUUUAGGAGCUAGCCGUCGAAGGUGGGACAAAUGAUUGGGGUGAAGUCGUAACAAGGUAGCCGUAUCGGAAGGUGCGGCUGGAUCACCUCCUUU
rnacentral:rRNA from 1 species